UAGCAUAGCUGUCAUCUUAAACAUUUAUCAUUUCUUUGCAUUACGAACACUCAAUAAUCUUCUAGCUAUAUGAAAAUACAUGAUUUUUCUUUUUUUUUUUCUUUUUUUUUUUUUUUUUGAGAUGGAGUCUCACUCUGUCGCCCAGGCUGGAGUGCAGUGGCGCGAUCUGGGCUCACUGCAAGCUCCACCUCCCGGGUUUACGCCAUUCUCCUGCCUCAGCCUCCCGAGUAGCUGGGACUGGCUAGUUUUUUGUAUUUUUUAGUAGAGACGGGGUUUCACCGUGUUAGCCAGGAUGGUCUUGAUCUCCUGACCUCGUGAUCCGCCCGUCUCGGCCUCCCAAAGUGCUGGGAUUACAGGCUUGAGCCACCGCACCCGGCCGAUUUUUCUUUUGUUUUGUUUUGAGACAGGGUCUCACUCUGUUGUUGUCUUCAUGGAGAGCAGGAGCAGAGGCUUUGGGAAGCCAGUGGGCCUUGGCCUCAGCCCUGCCGGCAGAGGGUCCCCACCAUGUAAAUGAAGUGCCAGCGUGCUUGUCAAGACUAAGCCUUUGGCAUUUGUGGGGAAUAUCGGGCGAGGCCUCCGGGACCAGGCGGGGCGUGGCGGGGCGGGGCGGGGCGGGGCGGGACCAACAGAGCAUACUUAAGCGGCCCGGGCCGGUACCGGCCUUCCGCCAUGGCUCUGAGGCGCGUCCUGCCGGUGCUGCGCCCCUACAUUCCCCGCUUCGCCCCAUUGUCCACGGCGCCGGCCGUCCGCGAGCAGCCCACCGCGGGCCCAGGAGCCCUGCCGGGACGUGGGUCGGCCAAGGCAGUGCGGGCACCGGUGCCCGCCGUGGACUUCGGCAACACGCAGGAGGCGUACCGCAGCCGGCGAACCUGGGAGCUGGCGCGCAGCCUGCUGGUGCUGCGCUUGUGCGCCUGGCCCGCGCUGCUGGCGCGCCAUGAGCAGCUGCUGUAUGUUGCCAGGAAACUUCUAGGGCAGAGGCUAUUCAACAAGCUCAUGAAGAUGACCUUCUAUGGCCAUUUUGUAGCCGGCGAGGACCAGGAGUCCAUCCAGCCCCUGCUUCGGCACAACAGGGCCUUCGGUGUCGGCGCCAUUCUGGACUACGGAGUGGAGGAGGACCUGAGCCCCGAGGAGGCAGAGCACAAGGAGAUGGAGUCCUGCACCUCAGCUGCGGAGAGGGAUGGCAGUGGGACAAAUAAGCGAGAUAAGCAAUACCAGGCCCACCGGGCCUUCGGGGACCGCAGGAGUGGCGUCAUCAGUGCCCGCACCUACUUCUAUGCCAACGAGGCCAAGUGCGACAGCCACAUGGAGACAUUCUUGCGCUGCAUCGAAGCCUCAGGUAGAGUCAGCGAUGACGGCUUCAUAGCCAUUAAGCUCACGGCACUGGGGAGACCCCAGUUUCUGCUGCAGUUCUCAGAGGUGCUGACCAAGUGGAGACGCUUCUUUCACCAAAUGGCUGCGGAGCAAGGGCAGGCGGGCCUGGCUGCCAUGGACACCAAGCUGGAGGUGGCGGCGCUGCAGGUGGGGCAGCCCUCCCCUUCCCCACUCCCGGGGCUUGUGAGGGGGUGGGCACCAUGGGGGCGCACAGGGGGCAUGGUGGGCAGUGGUCUGAGGCGGUUUGGGGAACUCAUCCAGGGCAUGUGGCUCACUCUGCAGCUGCUGGGGUUGGCCUUGUGGGGAGGAGGAGGUCAGAGGGACGCUGAAC
rnacentral:lncRNA from 10 species